UGCCCGAUAGUGUAAUUGGGAACACGUCUGCCUCUGGAGCGGAAGUUUCCUGGUUCGAAUCCAGGUCGGGCAG
rnacentral:tRNA from 1 species